CACACACAUCAUCCAGCACUCACACUCUCACACACCCAUCAUCCAGCACUCACACACACACACACACAUCAUCCAGCACUCACACACACACACACACAUCAUCCAGCACUCUCACACACACACAUCAUCCAGCACUCACACACACAUCAUCCAGCACUCACACACACACACAUCAUCCAGCACUCACUCACACACCCAUCAUCCAGCACUCACACACACACACAUCAUCCAGCACUCACACACACACAUCAUCCAGCACUCACACACACAUCAUCCAGCACUCACACAC